rnacentral:rRNA from 1 species
GAACUGAAGAGUUUGAUCAUGGCUCAGAUUGAACGCUGGCGGCAGGCCUAACACAUGCAAGUCGAGCGGCAGCACGGGUACUUGUGCCUGGUGGCGAGCGGCGGACGGGUGAGUAAUGCCUAGGAAUCUGCCUGGUAGUGGGGGAUAACGCUCGGAAACGGACGCUAAUACCGCAUACGUCCUACGGGAGAAAGCAGGGGACCUUCGGGCCUU